AAUGCAUAGGAAUCUGCCCGGUAGUGGGGGAUAACCUGGGGAAACUCAGGCUAAUACCGCAUACGUCCUACGGGAGAAAGCAGGGGAUCUUCGGACCUUGCGCUAUCGGAUGAGCCUAUGUCGGAUUAGCUGGUUGGUGAGGUAACGGCUCACCAAGGCGACGAUCCGUAGCUGGUCUGAGAGGAUGAUCAGCCACAUCGGGACUGAGACACGGCCCGAACUCCUACGGGAGGCAGCAGUGGGGAAUAUUGGACAAUGGGGGCAACCCUGAUCCAGCCAUGCCGCGUGUGUGAAGAAGGCCUUCGGGUUGUAAAGCACUUUCAGUGGGGAAGAAGGCCUUGGGGUUAAUACCCUCGAGGAAGGACAUCACCCACAGAAGAAGCACCGGCUAACUCCGUGCCAGCAGCCGCGGUACGGAGGGUGCGAGCGUUAAUCGGAAUUACUGGGCGUAAAGCGCGCGUAGGCGGCUUGGUAAGCCGGUUGUGAAAGCCCCGGGCUCAACCUGGGAAUGGCAUCCGGAACUGUCAGGCUAGAGUGCAGGAGAGGAAGGUAGAAUUCCCGGUGUAGCGGUGAAAUGCGUAGAGAUCGGGAGGAAUACCAGUGGCGAAGGCGGCCUUCUGGACUGACACUGACGCUGAGGUGCGAAAGCGUGNGUAGCANACAGGAUUAGAUACCCUGGUAGUCCACGCCGUANACGAUGUCGACUAGCCGUUGGGGUCCUCGAGACCUUUGUGGCGCAGUUAACGCGAUAAGUCGACCGCCUGGGGAGUACGGCCGCAAGGUUAAAACUCAAAUGAUAAUUGACGGGGGCCCGCACAAGCGGUGGAGCAUGUGGUUUAAUUCGAUGCAACGCGAAGAACCUUACCUACCCUUGACAUCCUCGGAAGCCGACAGAGAUGUUGGUGUGCCUUCGGGAGCCGAGUGACAGGUGCUGCAUGGCUGUCGUCAGCUCGUGUUGUGAAAUGUUGGGUUAAGUCCCGUAACGAGCGCAACCCUUGUCCCUAUUUGCCAGCGAUUCGGUCGGGAACUCUAGGGAGACUGCCGGUGACAAACCGGAGGAAGGUGGGGACGACGUCAAGUCAUCAUGGCCCUUACGGGUAGGGCUACACACGUGCUACAAUGGUCGGUACAAAGGGUUGCGAGUUCGCGAGGACGAGCUAAUCCCGAAAAGCCGAUCUCAGUCCGGAUCGGAGUCUGCAACUCGACUCCGGAAGUCGGAAUCGCUAGUAUCGGAAUCAGAAGUCACGUAACUGACCGUUAAA
rnacentral:rRNA from 1 species